rnacentral:siRNA from 1 species
UCGCUUAGGACUGUUAGAAACCCC